AUGUCGGAGUUAUUGAACAAAGAGCAGAUCCUCAUGCCCCAUCAGAAGCAAACAGCUCAGAGUGUGGUGGACCGGUGCCGGGCCUGUCAGGUGCAGCUGCAGGAGGUGGGCCCAGGACUGGUGCAGCCCUCACAGGCCCUGUCUCUCACCUGCAUAGCCUCUGGAUUCUCUUUAACCAGCUAUCAUAUGAACUGGGCCCGGCAAGCCCCAGGAAAAGGGCUAGAGUGGGUAGGUGUGAUAUGGGGUGAUGGAAACACAAAUUAUAACCCAACAUUGGCAUCCCGACUCAGCAUCAUCAGGGACACUUCCAAGAGCCAAGUUUAUUUAAAGCUGAACUCUGUGACUGAGAAAGACACGGCCAUGUAUUACUGUGCGAGACACACA